rnacentral:lncRNA from 1 species
GCUCAAAGUUAUGGCUUCUUCAAAGCAGCUCCAAAUCCCGAAGGUGAGAUAGCUCUCACCUGGAGCCCACGUGUGUUCCUCUACCACUUGGCUGGUAACAGUCACCUGGGAAUCAUUCCAGCAGGUGGCUUCCAAAGUCCAACCUGCUAGGUUGAAAUCUGACACUGAUAGAGACUCCCCGGGAGCUCUUACUGAAAGCUAAACCAGGAACCAGGAAAUGCACAAGCCUCUUUAUGUAGAAAACAGCUGGGCUCCCUCCGAGGCAACAGAGCACCAUGGGAAACCGGCUUUGCUGCGGGGGACACUGAAAGCCAAGCAAGACGGACAUUGAAGCAGCAGCAGCAGCAGCAGAAUGGCACCAAGGUAAUGACAGGCCCCCGUCCCUUCCAGGGGGCUGUUCAGAUAUAGGAUCUGAGGUUCCCGCUUUUUCACCCUGGGAUGCAUCUGGGUCAUCUUGAACCAGAACUUGCUGGUUCUGCCCUACAAAGGAGCAGAGCGAGGGGACAUCGGUA